AGCAUGUGGUUUAAUUCGAAGCAACGCGAAGAACCUUACCAGGUCUUGACAUCCCUGACAACCCGAGAGAUCCGGGCGUUCCCCUUCGGGGGACAGGGUGACAGGUGGUGCAUGGUUGUCGUCAGCUCGUGUCGUGAGAUGUUGGGUUAAGUCCCGCAACGAGCGCAACCCUUGCCUUUAGUUGCCAGCAUUCAGUUGGGCACUCUAAAGGGACUGCCGGUGUCAAACCGGAGGAAGGUGGGAUGACGUCAAGUCCUCAUGGCCUUUAUGUCUAGGGCUACACACGUACUACAAUGGCAGGUACAAAGGGCAGCGACACAGCGAUGUGAUGCGAAUCCCGAAAAGCCUGUCUCAGUCCGGAUCGGAGUCUGCAACUCGACUCCGUGAAGUUGGAAUCGCUAGUAAUCGUGGAUCAGCAUGCCACGGUGAAUACGUUCCCGGGCCUU
rnacentral:rRNA from 1 species